rnacentral:lncRNA from 1 species
UGCGAAAUUUUAAUUUGUGAUGACUAAAAGCACUAAAGUGGUGACUCUUUGGGUAGAACGUAAAAACGAACGGUCCUCAACGGCCACAAGGCGCCCCUUCUAGGAGUGGUACCUCCCAGGAUAACGGAAAACAGCCCCAGCCCCAUCAGGAGCGAGCUUGGGGGCGGGCUUUAAUCUCCCGGCCCACUGUUUGGCUAUCUGCAGGGGCUGGCCUCCAAUGAUUGGUCGCUGCCGCGAGGGCCGCCGGGACUCGCACUCGGCGGUUGUUCCAGAAGAAAGAGACAGCGAUGGCGGCAGAGGCUUCGAAGACUGGGCCUUCUAGGUCUUCCUACCAGCGAAUGGGGAGGAAGAGUCAGCCCUGGGGUGCCGCUGAAAUCCAGUGCACCAGGUGUGGAAGGAGGGUAUCCAGAUCAUCCGGUGAGGAGCCCAAGGGCCCACCUAGCGGGGAGGCAGCCUGGAGGGAGCGCUGGGGGCCAGGUCACCAUUGUGAACUUCAAUGUGGACAUGCUUUUUGUGAACUAUGCUUGUUAAUGACUGAAGAAUGCACCACAAUUAUAUGCCCUGAUUGUGAGGUUGCUACAGCUGUAAAUACUAGACAACGCUACUACCCAAUGGCUGGAUAUAUUAAGGAAGACUCCAUAAUGGAAAAACUGCAGCCUAAGACGACACUAAUACUGCAGAAGAAAUUGAUGAAGCAUUGAAUACAGCACACCAUAGUUUCGAACAGUUAAGCAUUGCUGGAAAAGUAAGCACUUUG